rnacentral:rRNA from 1 species
AAAUUGAAGAGUUUGAUCAUGGCUCAGAUUGAACGCUGGCGGCAGGCCUAACACAUGCAAGUCGAACGGUAACAGAAAGCAGCUUGCUGCUUUGCUGACGAGUGGCGGACGGGUGAGUAAUGUCUGGGAAACUGCCUGAUGGAGGGGGAUAACUACUGGAA